rnacentral:lncRNA from 1 species
CUUGAGGACCUACGCCUGACCUUCUUCUUCAUCAAAAAAUUUCAGCCAUUAUUUCACCAUCUUCUUCAACCUUGGAACACAAGACAAGAACUAAACACUAGAACUUAGCAGCUAUCUUCAUGGAAGACUACAACACAUGAAGAAAACACUAAUAUCCUUCUUUUUCAAAAAAACCAUAACCACCUGAACCUCCAUAGCCGCCGCCGCCGCUCCCUCCCCUCAUCUCCUUCACCUUACACCGCUAAACACACUGAAAGUCAAUUGUAUUUAUAAAAAAUACAGAAUCAAAGAUAGGAGAAAUUGGCUAGGAGUUUCGUUCAAGAAUGGAGCAAUGCUGAAGUGGAUGUUCGAAUUUUGGAGUCGUCGUUCGUGUUCGGUCGCGGUUCUGUUUGAAUUUGAUUGCUGCCAAUUUCGAAUUUUUGUUGCUGAACUUCGCUCGAUUUAUGAUCCGAAGUCCGUGUAUAUGUUUCAAAGUACCAAGGGGGUUUUCUCUACCUGUAGGUUCAUUUUUCCCUUUUAUCUUUGUUAUCCUGUCUAUCAUCCUACUGUGUGUUGCUUGAUUCUAUUACUAGAAUUGGUUUGCAUUUAUAUUUAACAAGUGUAUGACUGUCAAUUAAGUAUUAUUGAGUUAGUUUAACAAAAAUUAAGAGAACUUUUAUAGGUAAAAAUUGGAUUGAAACAGUGUGUUUAACCGAGGGAGUUAGCUUUAAAAAGGGUACUUAAUUGUCCACAUAUGAUAUUAGUUUCAUCUUUCUUGUCUUUAGAGAUAAAUUGAAAAUGAAGUUAGAUAUAUCAUGAGAAACUUUUGUGCCAUAUGAGUUUUUGUUCGGUUCUAGGAAAUUACUACUAUUAGAGUUUUAUUCCUUUUUUUUAGGUCAAACAAGUUUCUAUUCUUAUACAGCAAAUUGAUUUAAGGUAUGUAAAGAAAUACAAAGCAUUGAUUUAGUGAAGUUACGUCCAUUGGUUGGGUAAAUAUAGUCUGAUUUAGUAUUAUUUAGUCUUGAAGUAAAAAAAUCAAGAGUUAGCUUUGUUGCUUAUUUUAUUCUAUUGAGUCGUGUGAAUGGGGAGAGGCAAAUGCCCAGUAGCAGUUAGUUUGUUUCCAUGCUUUAGUUAUCGAGCUCGGCCUAAUAAUAAAAUGAGAAGUUGAGAAAGGAAUGAGCAUGAUUUAAAAUUUUCUUCUACCUUAUUUUGUUUUCUUUCCUUUGUUUAUUUAAUUUUAUUGUCUGUUAGGAGCAUGCUUUAGGCAGGCAACAUUUGGUUUAGGCAAUAUUAGGACGUUUAUGAAUUUUUUAUUUAUUUCGAGGCGAGAGGUGGUCCCAUAGUUAAAUUUAUUCGGGGAAUGCCCCGUGAAGUUUUUAAAUAUUAUUAUCCAGGGUAUGCUCCGAAGAACUAUGUAAAUAGUUUGGAGGCAUUGAUGAGCAUGGUGGAGAAGUCAUAGUAUAGAUUAGCUUAGGACUUUUCUUUUCCUUUUCAUUUUCUCUUAUUAGGUAGGGACGACCUCGAACCUCUUGUGUGUUUACUUACUUUGCUUUUGUGUGUUGUUUUUACCUCAAUUGAAUUUUUUAAAGCCAACUUGAUCGAGUGUGCAGCUGUACUAGUUACGGGACUUGGGGAGUGCCAAACACCUUCUCCCCGAGUCAAAUGAACCCCCUAACCCUAAUCUCUGGUGCAGACUUGGUUUUAGAGUCUGAAACGUUUUAAAAGAAAAAUUAUUUUAGAAAUGGUGACCUAGCACACCUAAAUCAAAUGUCAGGUGGCGACUCUGAGUUAUUUCCUUUUGAACACAUUUCGCCACUUUUCAAUUGAAAAACUCUUUUCAAGGUUUACAAAAUCUUUUUAUUAUUUUUUUAAAGAGGGUUAGUGAGCUUUUAUUUUUAAAAAAGGGUGUAACAUCUCUGGCGACUCUGCUGGGGACUUGCGUGUUCGAGCUAGUACUUGAUUUUGUUGGCUUUUAGAAUAUUUGGUUGAGGUUUUCAUGUUUUUUCAUUAGCUUUACUUCACUUUUAUUGUGUUUUUAUAUUAUUAUUAUUUACUAGUUGCUUAUGUGUUUACAAUUUUUGCUUUAUAUGUUUACUGCUUUAUAACUGUCAUCAUUUGCAUAACCCCAAGUCUUCUUUCUGAAAUAAGUCUUUCGGAGUACGUUUGAGCGUACACGGCUUUUUUAUGAGUCACUGGUGUCUUUAGGGGGUGGCGUGGGAGCGUGGAGUGGGCGGACAACUAGAGCAGCCGCCAUCGACCACGUGCCGUCCCGAAUUUUCUUGUCUAGUGAAUCCUAACCGUUGGCCAGCCUUUAGGUCAUACUUUUGUGCAUCAUAUCAUUUAAAAUUAGCAGGGUUCAGUCCCAGGCACCGUGUCUCAUCGUAAGAGGCCUAUCCAAAUUAUGUCAAAAUGGGCUUAUGGCCCAAAAAGAUAUUUAAUCAUCCAUAUGUGCUACUUGUUACCUCUUUAGGGUUAAAAGGGUCAUUUGGUGGACCAAGAAUAUUUGAGGGUGAAAUAAAAUUUAGUAGGUGAUUUUACACUUUCCCCUUUAUUUUCCAAAAUUGAAAAAGAAAAUCAGAAAGAUUCUACACUUUUUCAUUAUUUUCCAAAAAAAAAAAGAGAAAUUAAAAAUAGAAAAUCUGAAAAGAUUUUACAUUUUUCCAUUAUUUACCAAAAAUUUAAAAAAAUAAGAAAAAGAAAAUCCAAAAGAUUUUACAUUUUUCAUUAUUUUCCAAAAAUUCAAAAAAGGAGAAAAAGAAAAUCCAAAAAGAUUUUACAUUUUUUAUCAUUUCUAAAAAAGACAAAAACUAUGGUUUUUCCAAAUUACUUGCAUUUUUGUAAGUUUUCUCCCAUAUCUAAUCUUCCCGAACUACGCGAACCUGAUUCUCGCCUUUCGAGGCCAGAUACAUAGGCAACCCACAUAGGGUCAGGUCUUCCUAGUGAGUCUUAGGUUCUUGGCUUCGGGGGGUCUUAGCCAAAUCUUGCAUGUAUAGCCACUUUUUUCCACAUCGGUCAUCCUUGCAAAAUGGGGCCAUUUUCCCAAAAGUGGCUCAAUAAUCCAUGUCUUAGGAUCUUAAGUCCACAAUUAGGUGUAUGUUACUUUAAGGUACGUCCUUUUUGAGUUUUCAUCUUUAGCUACUUCUCGCCAUAUUGGUCGUUUUUGCAAAAUGGGUCAUUUCUGCAAAUUAAUUUUUGGGCCAUGAUUAUUAGGAGUUGAAUCCAUACAAGCAUUAGUAAGGUAUUUUCAUAUCUUAGUAGUCACACUUGUUGAUUUUGUACUUAUAGCCACUCUUGGCAACCUAGGUUAAUUUUUAAAAUAGCCUAAUCAUGCCUUGCAUGUGUCAAAUAGAAGGUGUCGUGGCAUCACAUGUGUCUUGGGUCACUAACUCUAUUUGAUCAUAUUUUUCUCAUUCAGGUAUGGAGCAAUUUGCUAUAGUUCGAGCAUGACAACCCCAGGACCACUGCAUUUAGGAGCUGCUAUAGAUACUUUUAUGUUUUGAGUCUGUCAUUCAUGUUGUCUUUUAAUUAUUAGUCUUAUACAUUAGUAUCGAGUCUAUCAGUCUAGUUAAGAUUUUUGAGUCUUUAUCCCAUUUUGUAUUUGAAAAAAAAAUUUAUAAAUGAAAAACCUAAAAAGAUUAAAAAUAGAGAAUCCGAAAAGAUUUUACAUUUUUCCAUUAUUUACCAAAAAUUCAAAAAAAUGAGAAAAAGAAAAUCCAAAAGAUUUUACAUUUUUCAUUAUUUUUCAAAAAUUCAAAAAAGGAGAAAAAGAAAAUCCAAAAAGAUUUUACAUUUUUUAUCAUUUCUAAAAAAGACAAAAACUAUGGUUUUUCCAAAUUACUUGCAUUUUUGUAAGCUUUCUCCCAUAUCUAAUCUUCCCGAACUACGCGAACCUGAUUCUCGCCUUUCGAGGCCAGAUACAUAGGCAACCCACAUAGGGUCAGGUCUUCCUAGUGAGUCUUAGGUUCUUGGCUUCGGGGGGUCUUAGCCAAAUCUUGCAUGUAUAGCCACUUUUUUCCACAUCGGUCAUCCUUGCAAAAUGGGGCCAUUUUCCCAAAAGUGGCUCAAUAAUCCAUGUCUUAGGAUCUUAAGUCCACAAUUAGGUGUAUGUUACUUUAAGGUACGUCCUUUUUGAGUUUUCAUCUUUAGCUACUUCUCGCCAUAUUGGUCGUUUUUGCAAAAUGGGUCAUUUCUGCAAAUUAAUUUUUGGGCCAUGAUUAUUAGGAGUUGAAUCCAUUCAAGCGUAUUUUCAUAUCUCAGUAGUCACACUUGUUGAUUUUGUACUUAUAGCCACUCUUGGCAACGUAGGUUAAUUUUUAAAAUAGCCUAAUCAUGCCUUGCAUGUGUCAAAUAGAAGGUGUCGUGGCAUCACAUGUGUCUUGGGUCACUAACUCUAUUUGAUCAUAUUUUUCUCAUUCAGGUAUGGAGCAAUUUGCUAUAGUUCGAGCAUGACAACCCCAGGACCACUGCAUUUAGGAGCUGCUAUAGAUACUUUUAUGUUUUGAGUCUGUCAUUCAUGUUGUCUUUUAAUUAUUAGUCUUAUACAUUAGUAUCGAGUCUGUCAGUCUAGUUAAGAUUUUCGAGUCUUUUGUUAUAUUA